GACGAACGCUGGCGGCGUGCCUAAUACAUGCAAGUCGAACGCAGUGGGGACGGGUGAGUAACACGUGGGUAACCUCCCAUCAGAGGGGAUAACACUUGGAAACAGGUGCUAAACCGCUCCUGAUGGAUGGACCCGCGGUGCAUUAGCUAGUUGGUGAGGUACCGGCUCACCAAGGCCACGAUGCAUAGCCGCCCUGACAGGGUGAUCGGCAAAACGUGGACGGAGAAAAGGCCCAAGCUCCUACGGGAGGCAGCAGUAGGGAAUCUUCGGCAAUGGACGAAAGUCUGACCGAGCAACGCCGCGUGAGUGAAGAAGGUUUUCGGAUCGUAAAACUCUGUGGUUAGAGAAGCGGUAUCUAACCAGAAAGCAACGGCUAACUACGUGCCAGCAGCCGCGGUAAUAC
rnacentral:rRNA from 1 species